GACGAACGCUGGCGGCGUGCUUAACACAUGCAAGUCGAACGAGAAGAGAUGAGAAGCUUGCUUCUUAUUAAUUCGAGUGGCAAACGGGUGAGUAACGCGUAAGCAACCUGCCCUUCAGAUGGGGGACAACAGCUGGAAACGGCUGCUAAUACCGAAUUCGUCUUUUUGUCGCAUGGCAGAGAGAAGAAAGGGAGGCUCUUCGGAGCUUUCGCUGAAGGAGGGGCUUGCGUCUGAUUAGCUAGUUGGAGGGGUAACGGCCCGACCAAGGCGACGAUCAGUAGCCGGUCUGAGAGGAUGAACGGCCACAUUGGGACUGAGACACGGCCCAGACUCCUACGGGAGGCAGCAGUGGGGGAAAUCGUUCCGCAAUGGACGAAAGUCUGACGGAGCAACGCCGCGUGAACGAUGACGG
rnacentral:rRNA from 1 species